rnacentral:tRNA from 1 species
CAAAAAAUAGUUUAAAUAAAACAUUAAUUUUGGAGAUUAAUAAUAUAAUUAUUUAUUUUUUUGA